rnacentral:rRNA from 1 species
GGGUUUCCGCCCUUCAGUGCCGCAGCUAACGCAUUAAGCWCUCCGCCUGGGGAGUACGACCGCAAGGUUGAAACUCAAAGGAAUUGACGGGGGCCCGCACAAGCGGUGGAGCAUGUGGUUUAAUUYGAAGCUACGCGAAGAACCUUACCAGGUCUUGACAUCUUGCGCCAACCCUAGAGAUAGGGCGUUUCCUUCGGGAACGCAAUGACAGGUGGUGCAUGGUCGUCGUCAGCUCGUGUCGUGAGAUGUUGGGUUAAGUCCCGCAACGAGCGCAACCCUUGUUACUAGUUGCCAGCAUUCAGUUGGGCACUCUAGUGAGACUGCCGGUGACAAACCGGAGGAAGGUGGGGACGACGUCAGAUCAUCAUGCCCCUUAUGACCUGGGCUACACACGUGCUACAAUGGACGGUACAACGAGUCGCGAACUCGCGAGGGCAAGCUAAUCUCUUAAAACCGUUCUCAGUUCGGACUGCUGGCUGCAACUCGCCUGCACGAAGUCGGAAUCGCUAGUAAUCGCGGAUCAGCAUGCCGCGGUGAAUACGUUCCCGGGCCUUGUACACACCGCCCGUCACACCAUGAGAGUUUGCAACACCCAAAGUCGGUGGGGUAACCCUU